AAAUGAAUAAAAUUUCAACACAUGGUUUAUAACCACUAAUGGAAGGUUGGGAUUGAUUUUGGGGGUUAUGUUCCCAAUUGUUUAGGAAUUGGGGAACAAAAAAGGGGCCCAAAUAAGCAUUUUUGUAUUUUCCAGACAAUAACUUGUGUUUGAAUCUCUCUGAAAUUAUACCACAAGUUUCCAUACAACAAAGAGAUGGUUAGGAUUGACUAUGGGGGUUAUGGCUCAAACCAAUUAGGAAUUAGAAGCAAAACAAGGGGAAAAAGAAGUUUUUUUCUGGUUUAAGGACAAUUAAGACAAUUUAAAAGCAGUCAAAGGGAGGUAAUCCAAUCCAUAUUUAAAACAACAAUGUUUUAUUACCUCCAUUACACAGGUUGUAAAUUAUGAAUUAAGAAAUGAUGAUUAUCUUGAGGUGAUCAGCUGUCAAUUUAUUUUUAGCUCACCUGGCCCAAAGCUUUGGGCCCGGUGAGCUUUUCUCAUCACUUGGCAUCUGUGUCCGGCGUCGUCAUUAACUUUUACAAAAAUCUUCUCCUCUGAAACUUCUGGGCCAAAUUUAACAAAACUUGGCCACAAUCGUCAUUGUGGUAUCUAGUUUAAAAAAUGUGUCCGAGGACCUUGCCAGCCAACCAAGAUGGCUGCCAUGACUAAAAAUAGAACAUAGGUGUAAAAUAUAUAUUUUGGCUUAUAACUCUGAAAUCAAAGCAUUUAGAGAAAAUCUGACAUGUGGUAAAAUUGUUAAGCAAGUCAAGAUCUAUCUGCCCUGAAAUUUUCAGAUGAAUCGGACAACAGGUUGUUGGGUUGCUGCCCCUGAAUUUGUAAUUUUAGCGAAAUUUUGCUGUUUUUUGGUUAUUAUCUUGAAUAUUAUUAUAGAUAGAGAUAAACUGUAAACAGCAAUAAUGUUCAACAUAGUAAGAUCAACAAAUAAGUCAACAUGACCAAAAUGGUCAGUUGACCCCUUAAGGAGUUGUUGCUCUUUAUAGUCAAUUUUUAACAAUUAUUCGUAAAUUUUUGUUAUCUUUUACAAAAAUCUUCUCCUCUGAAACUACAGGGCCAAGUUAAACCAAUUUUGGCCACAACCAUCAUUGGGGUAUCUAGUUUUAAAAAAAGUGUGGCAUGACCCGCCCAACAAACCAAGAUCGCCGCCAUGGCUAAAAAGAGCGCAUAGGGGUAAAAUGUAGAUUUUUGCUUAUAACUCUGAAACCAAAGCAUUUAGGGAGCUACCAUUGAUUCUUAUGGGUGGGGCUGUAGGAUGAAUUUGAAAAAAAUAGACAGGACAGGAGUUUUGAGUAAAAAAAA
rnacentral:lncRNA from 1 species